rnacentral:lncRNA from 1 species
AAUAAUCAAUGAUGUUAAUCAUGCUGAAGAAUUAGAUUGCUUUGCUCCAGUGGUAUAAAGGUUUCUUAUUAUUGUGGCACAGUGGUUUUAUAAUGUCUUUAUCAGCACUAAGAAUUACGUGAACCGUUCUUCCUGUGCACGGGGGCUGUCUCGGUGUUGGGACUACUGAACAUCCCGCUGACUUUUGCUUGUUAAAGUGUGUUCAGGGUAGUGUUGUGACGGUUCUCAGCUUCUGACUCCGCUGUGACCGCUGGCCUCAGCUGCUCCAGAGCUCAGUGACUGGCUGGGUGCAGCAGCAGGCUGAGGAAACAUGGCAAAGCUGGGAAGAGAGAAACCAGGUUUAUUUGAUGAGUUUCUAACUUUAAGGUAGUUUACGUCAAAUAUAAUUAAGAAAACCCAAGUUAUUGGCAGGACAAAUCAUGCAGGAGACACUUUUGUAACCAAAACAACGUGCCGGGUUCUGGUCAUUUUUUUGGUAACAAAAGUGGGCCUGUCAGCUUCUGACUAAACUGGCAAUAAUGAACAAAUAACCCAAGGGCUGAGCACGGCUACAUGGUGUCUUUCACAAGGACAGAAAGCACAGUUUUUCUUAAAAAUAUUUUAUUUGGAUUUUUGACAUUUUACAUGGAUAUUCGUCAUCAAUCUGGAUUCAAAAUUUUCUCUUAAGGGAUCCAAAUGAAUGAGACACCUCAAAAAGGCACUUGUUACCUUUCACAGGUUCUCAGUAUUCUCAAAGGAGUAGCCACUGAUUAGCAGGACCUACACAAAUGAAGUAUAGACCAGUGUUUAAAGCUGCACUGGUUAUAUUUCCAUUGAUUAUGCAAUCCUUUCAAAUCUAUAGAAGACCUACAUUCAUUAACAAUUGCUGACUGAAGUCAAACAACCCCAGCAGACCAAACUUUUGGACGCCAGAAGUCAAACCACAGUCAGAGUUGCGAACAGUUCUUAAAGGGUUUCAUGCUGUUGGAGCAGAUGGAAACCGCCACAGCCACGACUUCUGCUCUGUGGGACGGAGCGCGUCGCUCUGCGCAGGGACAACAAUUACUAUCUCCUGUCACCACAGCUCACACGUGACCAGGAGGGCGGAUGCUGCAGCCCAGCAGGUGCAGGAGAUUCCACGAUGUGUUAUCUCUGGCCACGGACUGUCCUGUUUCCAGGAACACUCUUCUGAUGGACGAGAUAAGAGCCUGCCAGUAACUUCUCUUUGUGCAAAGGAGUUGGCAAGAAUGUCUUCAUCAAAAUGGCUUUGUAGUUGCAUUGGUUUCUAAGAAGUGCAGGAGGAAAUAUAGAUACAGCUGCAUGUUAUAUCCUAU